ACCUACGGCAGUACCACCCUGAAAGUACCCGAUCUCGUCUAAUCUCGGAAGCUAAGCAGGGACGGUCUUUGUUAGUACCUGGAUGGGAGACCGCCUGGGAAUACCAGGUGUUGUAGGCU
ensembl:rRNA 5S_rRNA 5S ribosomal RNA